UGCUGUGUUGUCCAAUUGUG
rnacentral:miRNA from 1 species